CCUACGGGAGACAGCAGUGAGGAAUAUUGGUCAAUGGCCGGGAGCCUGAACCAGCCAAGCCGCGUGAAGGACGAAGGUGCCAAGCAUUGUAAACUUCUUUUGUCAAGGGGCAAAAUCAGCCACGCGAGCCUGUCCGAGGGUACUUGAAGAAAAAGCAUCGGCUAACUCCGUGCCAGCAGCCGCGGUAAUACGGAGGAUGCGAGCGUUAUCCGGAUUUAUUGGGUUUAAAGGGUGCGUAGGCGGAAUGUUAAGUCAGCGGUAAAAGGGCGGGGCUCAACCCCGGCGAGCCGUUGAAACUGGUUGUCUUGAGAGGGUGAGAGGUAUGCGGAAUGCGUAGUGUAGCGGUGAAAUGCAUAGAUAUGGCGCAGAACUCCGAUUGCGAAGGCAGCAUACCGGCGGCGAUCUGACGCUGAGGCACGAAAGCGUGGGUAUCGAACAGGAUUAGAUACCCUAGUAGUC
rnacentral:rRNA from 1 species